rnacentral:rRNA from 1 species
UACAGAGGUCUCAAGCGUUGUUCGGAUUCAUUGGGCGUAAAGGGUGCGUAGGCGGCGUGGUAAGUCGGAUGUGAAAUCUCGGAGCUUAACUCCGAAACUGCAUUCGAUACUGCCGUGCUUGAGGACUGGAGAGGAGACUGGAAUUUACGGUGUAGCGGUGAAAUGCGUAGAUAUCGUAAGGAAGACCAGUGGCGAAGGCGGGUCUCUGGACAGUUCCUGACGCUGAGGAGCGAAAGCCAGGGGAGCAAACGGG